GAGGCCCUUCCAAGUGGAUAACUGGCUACGCUUGUGAGACAUCUGCUCAGGGGGCCAGUGGAAGAGCCUCUUUUCCUUAUAAUGGAGGAAGAGGACAAGGAAAAGGCCCUCAACAAUCUCCUGGAACAGAAGUUUCCAGAGUGCCCUUCAUAUUUCAUCUUGUGUUCAGGGGAGUUAUUUUUGGCAGGAUUGUCAUAACAAAAUGGGCCUAAGAGUGAAUUGUUCAUUUGAUACAUUUUAAUUUGAAUUUAUGCAAGAUUGUCAUGACAAAAUGUGCCCAAGAGUGAAUUGUUCAUUUUGUAAGUUUUCAUGCAGGAUUGUCAUGACAAAAUGGGCUUAAUAGUGAAUUGUUCAUUUUAUAAACUUCAAUUUAAUUA